CGAACGCUGGCGGCGUGCUUAACACAUGCAAGUCGAAACGCGAAAGGGACUUCGGUCCUGAGUAAAGUGGCGCACGGGUGAGUAACGCGUAGAUAACCUGUCUUCAUGUCUGGAAUAAUACGCCAAAGGGGUACUAAUACCGGGUAUUCUUGCUUUUCAUAAGUUAUGCAAGCAAAGGUGGCCUCUGCAUAUGCUACUGCAUGAAGAGGGGUCUGCGUACCAUUAGCUAGUAGGUGGGGUAAUGGCCUACCUAGGCGACGAUGGUUAGCGGGUCUGAGAGGAUGAUCCGCCACACUGGCACUGGAACACGGGCCAGACUCCUACGGGAGGCAGCAGUGAGGAAUAUUGCGCAAUGGGGGAAACCCUGACGCAGCGACGCCGCGUGAGUGAAGGAAGGCCUUCGGGUCGUAAAGCUCUGUCAAGAGGAAAGAAGUGUACAAUGGCUAAUACCUGUUGUAUUUGACGGUACCUCUAAAGGAAGCACCGGCUAACUCCGUGCCAGCCGCUGC
rnacentral:rRNA from 1 species